rnacentral:rRNA from 1 species
GAUGAACGCUGGCGGCGUGCCUAACACAUGCAAGUCGAGCGAUUUACUUCGGUAAAGAGCGGCGGACGGGUGAGUAACGCGUGGGUAACCUGCCCUGUACACACGGAUAACAUACCGAAAGGUAUGCUAAUACGAGAUAAUAUGCUUUUAUCGCAUGGUAGAAGUAUCAAAGCUUUUGCGGUACAGGAUGGACCCGCGUCUGAUUAGCUAGUUGGUAAGGUAACGGCUUACCAAGGCGACGAUCAGUAGCCGACCUGAGAGGGUGAUCGGCCAAAUUGGAACUCAGACACGGUCCAAACUCCUACGGGAGGCAGCAGUGGGGAAUAUUGCACGAUGGGCGAAAGCCUGAUGCAGCAGCGCCGCGUGAGCGAUGAAGGCCUUCGGGUCGUAAAGCUCUGUCCUGAAAGAAGAUAAUGACGGUACUUGAGGAGGAAGCCCCGGCUAACUACGUGCCAGCCGCCGCGGUAA